UACAGAGGUCUCGAGCGUUAGGCGGAAUCACUGGGCUUAAAGCGUGUGUAGGCGGAUUGGUAAGUACCUUGUGAAAUCCCACGGCUCAACCGUGGAACUGCUCGGUAUACUGCCUGUCUUGUGCAACCUAGGGGCGAGCGGAACAGAUGGUGGAGCGGUGAAAUGCGUAGAUAAUCAUCUGGAACGCCAAUGGUGAAAACAGCUCGCUGGGGGGUUUGGCAA
rnacentral:rRNA from 1 species